UACAGAGGUCUCAAGCGUUGUUCGGAUUCAUUGGGCGUAAAGGGUGCGUAGGUGGCGCCAUAAGUCGGGUGUGAAAUCUCGGGGCUUAACUCCGAAACUGCAUUCGAUACUGUGGUGCUUGAGGACUGGAGAGGAGACUGGAAUUCAUGGUGUAGCAGUGAAAUGCGUAGAGAUCAUGAGGAAGACCAGUGGCGAAGGCGGGUCUCUGGACAGUUCCUGACACUGAGGCACGAAGACCAGGGGAGCAAACGGG
rnacentral:rRNA from 1 species